rnacentral:rRNA from 1 species
CCUACGGGAGGCAGCAGUAGGGAAUUUUCCACAAUGGGCGCAAGCCUGAUGGAGCAACACCGCGUGAGUGAAGAAGGGUUUCGGUAUGUAAAGCUCUAUCAGCAGGGAAGAAAAUGACGGUACCUGACUAAGAAGCCCCGGCUAACUACGUGCCAGCAGCCGCGGUAAUACGUAGGGGGCAAGCGUUAUCCGGAUUUACUGGGUGUAAAGGGAGCGUAGACGGUGUGGCAAGUCUGAAGUGAAAGCCCGGGGCUCAACCCCGGGACUGCUUUGGAAACUGUCAUGCUGGAGUGCUGGAGAGGUAAGCGGAAUUCCUAGUGUAGCGGUGAAAUGCGUAGAUAUUAGGAGGAACACCAGUGGCGAAGGCGGCUUACUGGACAGUAACUGACGUUGAGGCUCGAAAGCGUGGGGAGCAAACAGGAUUAGAUACCCGGGUAGUC